UAAUACGAAGGGACCUAGCGUAGUUCGGAAUUACUGGGCUUAAAGAGCUCGUAGGUGGUUAGAAAAGUUGGUGGUGAAAUCCCAAGGCUUAACCUUGGAACUGCCACCAAAACUUUUUGACUAGAGUAUGAUAGAGGAAAGUGGAAUUUCUAGUGUAGAGGUGAAAUUCGUAGAUAUUAGAAAGAACACCGAUUGCGAAGGCAACUUUCUGGAUCAUUACUGACACUGAGGAGCGAAAGCAUGGGUAGCGAAGAGGAUUAGAUACCCUCGUAGUCCAUGCCGUAAACGAUGUGUGCUAGACGUUGGGAACUUAGUUUUCAGUGUCGCAGCAAAAGCGUUAAGCACACCGCCUGGGGAGUACGACCGCAAGGUUA
rnacentral:rRNA from 1 species